UUCUGAGCUGAAUGGAGACGAGAAAGCCAAAGGGGACAGAAGAGGACAGGCGACAAGAGGUGCUGUCUGUAGCAGGGACUGUGGCCCGGAGCUGGGGGAGGAUGACCAGCAGGAGGAACCGAAAUGGAAGGACCCGUCACAGGGCUGCCUCAGACCCAGCCCGGGAACAGUUUUCCGAACCUGAGCAGAACCCUUCCAUGGAGUUCCAGCAAGUCCAAUAAGGCUGCCACAGGGUAAAAUCUGACCCACAUGGAGAACAAUUUCUGAUAUAUUUUACUCUGGAAUUCAGUUGAUCUCCUAAAGGGUCCAGGAAUGAGUCCAUAGCAACCUGGAGAACAAAUGUACCCGUUUGCCAAUCCAGCCCUCAGAACUGGGCAUCCUUAAAGCCUGGCCAGAGUGAUCACAGACACAUCCCCUGAGGAAAUGGCCACAAACGCCUUUGAGGGCAUCUCUCAGGCCAAACAGUCAGUUGCUCAUGAACACUGCGAGUGCCAGCUGAUGGUUUUCUGAAACUACUGAGAACAAAACAACUAAAACGCAUUCUGUAUUUCUCAGUCAUAUGGGAACACUCUGAAAAAUCCCCCAAGUGAACUAUCAUCCAAAGAGAACAACCUAUAUGCGCUGUCAGAACAGUCCAUCUAAAUGAUUUUGAUCGGAAUAGAUAGUGACUUGGGAAAGUCGGCUUUAUUCUCAAGGACUGUAUUCACCAGCCAACGGGGCACCCCACUGAGAAGAGAUAAAUAAAUGGAAAAGAAAACAAUGAUAAAAAAAACGAAAGCAACACCCACUCGUUUGGCUGGGGCCUCCGUCAGCCUGCCUGUGAGGGCAGUGCUCCGGGACAGACAGCAGGCUCCCCACAGUCAGCUCUCCGACACAGACCCUCGCCCGGCUAGCUGGAAAGUCCAGAAACCACCCAUGUCCGCUGGUGUGACUGACAGCUGCCAUUCACAGAAAGGAAGUGUGGGGGACACAGGGCCUUGUGGUACCAUAGCAGACAGGGAAAGCCAAAGGCCCUGGUGAUGAACGCCGAGGUUUAGGAAACCAGCACUCUUGCUGAGCAGCUGGACUUGAAGAGGAGCUGACUCAGGGACAGACAAAGACUCGGGAGGGAGCCACCGUCUUCCCACGGUGUGCAAAUCCGACAAGAGCAUCCCUAGAGCACUCUUUCUAAGAAAAGGAAUUUCCCUAAAGGGAAAGAAAACCAACUGCCGCACACUUCAGCACAGAACUAAAAACACAUGCCCACACCCCAGUGUGAGGGUCCCCCCUGCAGUCCAGUCCCUGAAUACAGGUCAGAGAAAAGCCAGCAACCAUUCGAGGCCAGAUUACGAGCCUUCGGUUGUUCACCUUCAUUAACAGCUGUAUGAACACAUCGGUACCUUUGCAGAAGACGUUAGAGGAGAAUAUAAAAGCCUCACCUUUGAAAAAUGAAGAUUUUAGAUGACCUUCAAGGGAGGUUUGAGGACGAGCGAAGAACAGCAGACUGGAGAGACAUGCUUGGCCCGAGAGUGGAAAUUCUGGAAUAACUGGAGAUCAAAUAGCCACUCCUGACCACGUCAUCUCCGAGUACCAGCAGAGAGGUCCAUUAAACUCACCCUUCCACUCGACCUCACGGGGCAGCUGGGACCGCCUUCGAUUCAUGGAGGGGGUGGCCCCAGCCCACCGCAGCUUUCCAAGGGCUUCUCCUCACCAGGGCUCCGACUUGAGCUACUCAGAUGGCCUUGGGGCCCGUCCUCUUAUCCCCACUGCCACGGAGCAUCCCUGUUAAAUGUGGGACUAGACUUUAUAGGGAACUCUAAUAUAAACACAGAGCAGGGCUUCUUAACCUCGCACUGCUCACUUCUCGGGCCAAUAAUUCGUUGCUGUGACGCCUGCUCUGAGCCACAGCAGCCUGUCCUCACACACUCGGUGCCAGCAGCACUCUCCACCCUCGUCCUGACAACCGACGUCUCUCCAGACACUGCCAAAGGUCCCCUGGGAGGCAAAAGGGUUCCCAUAGAGGGCCCCUGGUCUGGAGGGGCUUGUACCUUUAUCCAGGUGCCCACAUUGUACAAGCAGGUUGACUGAUCAGCCUGUACAGGUAAGUCAUGCAAACCCAUAGCUAAACAUGCACAGUGAUGGUGGUCAAAGUGGAAAUACUUCAACACAUCAUCUAAUCUCAGUGUCCUGAGUUUUCACUCCGGAAGAACUCCAAGUGCAUCUAAGAACUCCCAGCCCCCUAGUUACUGCGGUCAGGGGUCAGGCAGAGCAGGAAGGCGGGCACCCUACCAUGAGGGAUAGGAAGGGGCCACAGGGUGGGCAGGAAGCUGAGCUCAGGGGCCACACGGUCAUGUCAUGGCUGAGCGCGUGAUCGCAGAGGUGGGCUGCAAGCAACAAGACCAGAGAACUGAUAACUGGAGGCCACCUGCGGGGUUCACACAGAGAACGGGGGUGAUGGCACAAAGCCCUCACACCUCCAGAGCACAGGUUUGGGAGGAAAUCUACGUGGGAUCCCCGCUCUGACACGUCUUAGCUUGUAGCUCUGGGCACUCCCGGGUCCUCUUCCAGCUUCCUGAGCUUCCCAGCAGGGCGGCAGUGACGGUGGGAGGCCAGUCUGGCAUGAAGACGUGCCCUCACUGGACCUGCCGCACGUGUGGGGGUUAUUCUAAAGCACAGAUUACAUUUCCUGCAAAAUAAGGGACUCUGGGAUUACAGUUUACAUACAGGUUCUGGGAAGCCGUAGGCUGUCUGGCGUCACUUAAUUAGCUUGGAUUGCGUUUAUGGCUUUCAUCAGCACUUUUUGGGGUGCUCGGGGAGCGUUGCCCUCACCUGGGCAGCUGCCUACCUUCAAGCCCAGAAUUUUGGCUUUGCCCACUUUCUACUCGCAAAGCCAAGCUUGUGGCGUUUUUGUCCUCCGACAACUACGUUGUGACUGUGAUUAUGUGAAAACCGAUGUAUACAAAGACUGGAAGGAAACGUGAGAAACAAAGAGCUGCUGUGUUUACAAGACGGGAGUGUGGGAAUUUUAUUGCUUUUCAGAACACCCUUAGAUCUCGUCAGAAUGCUCUCUAAAAAGCAAACAGGUACUACUCGGGUUAAGGAGCCUGAACUUUAUUCCGGAAGCAGUAAAGGACCCGCCGGCCGGCAGGCAGGAUCUGAACAGGGAGGUAAGCCUUUGUUUGAACAGAGAAUCUGCAGGCUACAGGAAAGGUUGACAACCACCCUCACUAUUCUUUUCCAAAACCUCCUUGGCUGGUCUCACUAUUUAGUCUUCCAGAGUCACUUUAGAGUUUACUUGGUAAACUCUGAACCAACCAUCUCCCCUCAACUGGGAUUUUACUUGAGUUACAUUAUAUUUGUAAGUUAUUUGGGGAUUAAGUCACAUUCCUUCCACGGUGGGCCUUCCCAUUCAGAAUUGAGGUAGCUCUGUCUCCAUUUUUUAACUUGACGUGCCCUUCAGUCUAUUGUUAGUUUGCUUCAUAGAGGUCCUGCUUCUCUCUUUUUUUAUUUUAAGGAAAGAAAAUGCCUUUAAUCUUUUUACUUUUCCACUUACAGUUGAUAGACAAUAUUAUGUUACUUUCAGGGGGUCCUGCUUAUUUCUUUAGUCCUAAAUGCUCCUUCAAAUGGAAUUUUACCUUCUUGCUGUUAUUUAAACACACACACACAAACACCCAUCAUCGUGGGAUAUGGGGAUGCUGUGGAUUUUUGUUUAUAUCAUUCGUUACAAAGUAUUCCACUGACCUCUCAGUUUGAGCUGGAUUUUUGGAUUAGACACGCCCCUCAUCUGCAAGUAGUUGCACAUUUUAUCUGCUUCUCAGGAGUUACAGUGCUGAUUCGCUGUCCCGUCUGAGCAGCAGAACUCCCAUUACUAUCCCGUUACAGGGGCCUGGCCUGUUGGUACCCUGCAAUUAGGGAAAGAACAGGACACAGCAGCUGUAGGCGAGUGUUUACACUGAGAUAACACAGGACAGGACAGGCUGGCAGGAGUUAAAUAGCAUCAAAACUGCCUGUAAAGAGAACCUGCUGUCGGUCGCCCCACACGGCCCCUGAGAGGAAACCAGUGACAUGUCUCAGAACAAGACGCUCUCGCCUAUGGGCUAGAGUCUAAUUUUGAUCAAUAAAACAUAAACAAGCAGAGAGACCUGGAGAAGGAAUAGGGCAGAAGUCAGGGAGCGUGAAUUAUUGUUAUGUUAGAAUACAAUUGUUUUCUGCAGGGAGCGAGGGAAGGACACUGAGCUCAGGGUCUGGGGCCAGCACGGCCUCUGCCUGACCCUGGCUGUUGCCUUGGCCAGGUGCACACCCCGUCUCUCUGCCUCAGCCUCGUCAUGCCCAGUCACUUCCUGGUUGAGUUAUGAUCUAGAUGGCUGAACUUGAACUUCUCCAGCCAGAUAAGGAGGAGGAAGAGAACACCAGCAUGGAGUUUUCCCCAGAAAACAGAAGUGAGAUGGCGUGAGCUCUGACGGGCUCCACAUGCAACUGGCCACACGAUAGAUUAGAACGCCGGUGUGGAAAGAACCCUUCAGAGAAUUUGACCAGAGCGAGCACGUCUCUGUUUAAAAACGAUCUCCUUCCCAUGAGCAACCUGCAUUUGAAAUCCACAGAAAUGGGAAGAUUUUGGAGCCAUCAGGACCCUACAUGAAUUUUCAGAGAGCUUCAGAAAAUAAGAACAGCCAGGGCUGGCAAGAUGGCAUUCGAUGCUGGGAGUGGCUAAGUUAAUUUUCUUUUCUU